UCGCGGCUUAUCACCGGCAGUCUCCCUAGAGUGCCCAACUAAAUGAUGGCAACAUGGAACGGGGGUUGCGCUCGUUGCGGGACUUAACCCAACAUCUCACGACACGAGCUGACGACAGCCAUGCACCACCUGUGAUGGUGUCCCGAAGGAAAACCGUGUUUCCACGGCGGUCACCAACAUGUCAAGCCCAGGUAAGGUUCUUCGCGUUGCGUCGAAUUAAACCACAUGCUCCGCUGCUUGUGCGGGCCCCCGUCAAUUCCUUUGAGUCUCAUUCUUGCGAACGUACUCCCCAGGUGGUUUACUUAACGCUUUCGCUUGGACGCACGGCCGCAGGGGCCGGACGUCGAGUAAACAUCGUUUAGGGCGUGGACUAC
rnacentral:misc_RNA from 1 species